rnacentral:rRNA from 1 species
GACGAACGCUGGCGGCGGGCUUAACACAUGCAAGUCGAAGGAGAAGGAAGGAGCUUGCUCUUUCUGGAGACUGGCGGACGGGUGAGUAACGCGUAGCCAACCUGCCUUUAACUGGGGGAUAACAUUCCGAAAGGGGUGCUAAUACCGCAUAAAGCAACUAGGUCGCAUGACCUUGGUUGUUAAAAAUUUCGAUUGGUUAAAGAGGGGGCUGCGUGCUAUUAGUUAGUUGGUGAGGUAACGGCUCACCAAGGCGAUGAUAGCUAGGGGGUCUGAGAGGAUGAUCCCCCACACUGGGACUGAGACACGGCCCAGACUCCUACGGGAGGCAGCAGUGAGGAAUCUUGCGCAAUGGGCGAAAGCCUGACGCACCCACGCCGCGUGCCGGAUGAAGGCCCUAUGGGUUGUAAACGGCUUUUAAGCAGGAAGAACGACCGGAUUUCGAUCUGGUGUGACGGUACUGCUUGAAUAAGCACCGGCUAACUCCGUGCCAGCAGCCGCGGUAAUACGGAGGGUGCAAGCGUUGUCCGGAAU